rnacentral:rRNA from 1 species
CGGAGGGUGCGAGCGUUGUUCGGAAUCACUGGGCGUAAAGGGCGUGUAGGCGGUCCGCUAAGUCUGAUGUGAAAGCCCGGGGCUCACCCCCGGAAGGGCAUUGGAAACUGACGGACUCGAGUCCCGAAGAGGAGGGUGGAAUUCCUGGUGUAGCGGCGAAAUGCGUAGAUAUCAGGAGGAACACCGGUGGCGAAGGCGGCCCUCUGGACGGUGACUGACGCUGAGACGCGAAAGCGUGGGGAGCAAACAGGAUUAGAUACCCUGGUAGUCCACGCUGUAAACGAUGAGCACUAGGUGUCGUGGGUAUUGACCCCCGCGGUGCCGUAGCUAACGCAUUAAGUGCUCCGCCUGGGGACUACGGCCGCAAGGUUA